rnacentral:rRNA from 1 species
GGUUAAGUUAAUAAGGGCGCACGGUGGAUGCCUUGGCACUAGAAGCCGAAGAAGGACGUGACAAACGACGAAAUGCUUUGGGGAGCUGUAAGUAAGCGCUGAUCCAGAGAUGUCCGAAUGGGGGAACCCACUAACUAAUGGUUAGUAUCCAUAACUGUUAAGGUUAUGAGAAGGAAGACGCAGUGAACUGAAACAUCUAAGUAGCUGCAGGAAGAGAAAGCAAACGCGAUUGCCUUAGUAGCGGCGAGCGAAACGGCAGGAGGGCAAACCGAAGUGUUUACACUUCGGGGUUGUAGGACUGCGACGUGGGACUUUAAAAGGAUAGAAGAAUUACCUGGGAAGGUAAGCCAAAGAGAGUAAAAGCCUCGUAUUUAAAAUUCUUUUGAGCCCUAGCAGUAUCCUGAGUACGGCGAGACACGUGAAAUCUCGUUGGAAUCUGGGAGGACCAUCUCCCAACCCUAAAUACUCUCUAGUGACCGAUAGUGAACCAGUACCGUGAGGGAAAGGUGAAAAGCACCCCGGGAGGGGAGUGAAAUAGAACCUGAAACCGUGUGCCUACAACAAGUUCGAGCCCGUUAAUGGGUGAGAGCGUGCCUUUUGUAGAAUGAACCGGCGAGUUACGAUAUGAUGCGAGGUUAAGUUGAAGAGACGGAGCCGUAGGGAAACCGAGUCUUAAUAGGGCGAUUUAGUAUCAUGUUGUAGACCCGAAACCAUGUGACCUACCCAUGAGCAGGUUGAAGGUGAGGUAAAACUCACUGGAGGACCGAACCAGGGCACGUUGAAAAGUGCUUGGAUGACUUGUGGGUAGCGGAGAAAUUCCAAACGAACUUGGAGAUAGCUGGUUCUCUCCGAAAUAGCUUUAGGGCUAGCGUCGAUGUUAAGUCUCUUGGAGGUAGAGCACUGUUUGGGUGAGGGGUCCAUCUCGGAUUACCAAUCUCAGAUAAACUCCGAAUGCCAACGAGAUAUCAUCGGCAGUCAGACUGCGAGUGCUAAGAUCCGUAGUCGAAAGGGAAACAGCCCAGACCACCAGCUAAGGUCCCAAAAUAACUGUUAAGUGGAAAAGGAUGUGGGGUUGCACAGACAACUAGGAUGUUAGCUUAGAAGCAGCUAUUCAUUCAAAGAGUGCGUAAUAGCUCACUAGUCGAGUGACCCUGCGCCGAAAAUGUACCGGGGCUAAAACAGUUUACCGAAGCUGUGGAUGACACAAAAGUGUCAUGGUAGGAGAGCGUUCUAUGUGUGAAGAAGGUGUACCGUGAGGAGCGCUGGAACGCAUAGAAGUGAGAAUGCCGGUAUGAGUAGCGAAAGACAGGUGAGAAUCCUGUCCACCGUAAGACUAAGGUUUCCAGGGGAAGGCUCGUCCGCCCUGGGUUAGUCGGGACCUAAGGAGAGACCGAAAGGUGUAUCCGAUGGCCAACAGGUUGAUAUUCCUGUACUAGAGUAUAUAGUGAUGGAGGGACGCAGUAGGCUAACUAAACCGGACGAUUGGAAGAGUCCGGCUAAGCAGUGAGGUGUAAGAUGAGUCAAAUGCUUAUCUUUAUAACAUUGAGCUGUGAUGGGGAGCGAAUUUUAGUAGCGAAGUUAGUGAUGUCACACUGCCAAGAAAAGCUUCUAGCGUUUAAUGAUACUCUACCCGUACCGCAAACCGACACAGGUAGUCGAGGCGAGUAGCCUCAGGUGAUCGAGAGAACUCUCGUUAAGGAACUCGGCAAAAUGACCCCGUAACUUCGGGAGAAGGGGUGCUGACUUAGGUCAGCCGCAGUGAAUAGGCCCAAGCAACUGUUUAUCAAAAACACAGCUCUCUGCUAAAUCGUAAGAUGAUGUAUAGGGGGUGACGCCUGCCCGGUGCUGGAAGGUUAAGAGGAGGGUUUAGCGCAAGCGAAGAUCUGAAUUGAAGCCCCAGUAAACGGCGGCCGUAACUAUAACGGUCCUAAGGUAGCG